AUACGGAGGAUCCGAGCGUUAUCCGGAUUUAUUGGGUUUAAAGGGUGCGCAGGCGGCCAUUUAAGUCAGCGGUUAAAUCGUGGGGCUCAACCCCAUUCUGCCGUUGAUACUGGGUGGCUUGAUUGCGGUCGAGGUUGGCGGAAUUCGUUGUGUAGCGGUGAAAUGCAUAGAUAUGACGAAGAACACCGAUUGCGUAGGCAGCUGACCAGACCGCAAAUGACGCUCAUGCACGAAAGUGCGGGGAUCGAACAGGAUUGGAUACCCUGGUAGUCCGCACAGUAAACGAUGAAUACUUGUUUUCGGCGAUAUAAUGUCGGAGGCAAAGCGAAAGCGAUAAGUAUUCCACCUGGGGAGUACGCCGGCAACGGUGAAACUCAAAUGAAUUGGCGGGG
rnacentral:rRNA from 1 species